rnacentral:rRNA from 1 species
GACGAACGCUGGCGGCGUGCUUAACACAUGCAAGUCGAACGGAAAGGCCCUGCUUGCAGGGUACUCGAGUGGCGAACGGGUGAGUAACACGUGGGUGAUCUGCCCUGCACUUCGGGAUAAGCCUGGGAAACUGGGUCUAAUACCGGAUAGGAGCCAUUUUUAGUGUGAUGGUUGGAAAGUUUUUUCGGUGUAGGAUGAGCUCGCGGCCUAUCAGCUUGUUGGUGGGGUAAUGGCCUACCAAGGCGGCGACGGGUAGCCGGCCUGAGAGGGUGGACGGCCACAUUGGGACUGAGAUACGGCCCAGACUCCUACGGGAGGCAGCAGUGGGGAAUAUUGCACAAUGGGCGCAAGCCUGAUGCAGCGACGCCGCGUGGGGGAUGACGGCCUUCGGGUUGUAAACUCCUUUCGCUAGGGACGAAGCUUUUUGUGACGGUACCUAGAUAAGAACCACCGGCUAACUACGUG